ACGUACACAACCUUCCUUCGAGUGGGGAAUAGCCCGGGGAAACCCGGAUUAAUACCCCGUAACAUAAUGAAGUGGCAUCACUUUAUUAUUAUAGCUCCGGCGCUUGAAGAUGGGUGUGCGACUGAUUAGGCAGUUGGCGGGGUAACGGCCCACCAAACCUACGAUCAGUAACUGGUGUGAGAGCACGACCAGUCACACGGGCACUGAGACACGGGCCCGACUCCUACGGGAGGCAGCAGUAAGGAAUAUUGGGUCAUGGACGCAAGUCUGAACCAGCCAUGCCGCGUGGAGGAUGAAGGUCCUCUGGAUUGGUAACUUCUUUUAUCUUGGAAGAAACCCAUGAAUUCUUU
rnacentral:rRNA from 1 species